CCUACGGGAGACAGCAGUGGGGGAUAUUGCACAAUGGGGGAAACCCUGAUGCAGCGACGCCGCGUGGGCGAAGAAGUAUUUCGGUAUGUAAAGCCCUAUCAGCAGGGAAGAAGAAAUGACGGUACCUGAGUAAGAAGCACCGGCUAAAUACGUGCCAGCAGCCGCGGUAAUACGUAUGGUGCAAGCGGUAUCCGGAUUUACUGGGUGUAAAGGGAGCGCAGGCGGCACGGCAAGCCUGAUGGGAAAGCCCGGGGCCCAACCGCGGGACUGCAGUGGGAACUACCGGGCUGGAGUGCAGGAGAGGUAGGCGGAAUUCCUAGUGUAGCGGUGAAAUGCGUAGAGAUUAGGAGGAACACCAGUGGCGAAGGCGGCCUACUGGACGGUGACUGACGCUGAGGCUCGAAGGCGUGGGGAGCAAACAGGAUUAGAUACCCCUGUAGUC
rnacentral:rRNA from 1 species